AUUGAACGCUGGCGGCAGGCUUAACACAUGCAAGUCGAACGAGUGGCGGACGGGUGAGUAAUGUCUGGGAAACUGCCUGAUGGAGGGGGAUAACUACUGGAAACGGUAGCUAAUACCGCAUACUAUUAGAUGUGCCCAGAUGGGCUUAGCUAGUUGGUGGGGUAACGGCUCACCAAGGCGACGAUCCCUAGCUGGUCUGAGAGGAUGACCAGCCACACUGGGACUGAGACACGGGCCAGACUCCUACGGGAGGCAGCAGUGGGGAAUAUUGCACAAUGGGGGCAAGCCUGAUACAGCCAUGCCGCGUGUAUGAUGAAGGCCUUCGGGUUGUAAAGUACUUUCAGCGGGGAAGCGUUACCCGCAGAAGAAGCACCGGCUAACUCCGUGCCAGCAGCCGCGGUAAUAC
rnacentral:rRNA from 1 species